rnacentral:rRNA from 1 species
AUUGAACGCUGGCGGCAUGCUUUACACAUGCAAGUCGGACGGCAGCACAGAGAAGCUUGCUUCUUGGGUGGCGAGUGGCGAACGGGUGAGUAACAUAUCGGAACGUACCGAGCAGUGGGGGAUAACUAAUCGAAAGAUUAGCUAAUACCGCAUAUCUUCUGAGGAAGAAAGCAGGGGACCAUUUGGCCUUGCGCUGUUUGAGCGGCCGAUAUCUGAUUAGCUAGUUGGUGGGGUAAAGGCCUACCAAGGCGACGAUCAGUAGCGGGUCUGAGAGGAUGAUCCGCCACACUGGAACUGAGACACGGCCCAGACUCCUACGGGAGGCAGCAGUGGGGAAUUUUGGACAAUGGGCGCAAGCCUGAUCCAGCCAUGCCGCGUGUCUGAAGAAGGCCUUCGGGUUGUAAAGGACUUUUGUCAGGGAAGAAAAGGGCGGGGUUAAUACCCCUGUCUGAUGACGGUACCUGAAGAAUAAGCACCGGCUAACUACGUG